CCUAUCCACAUCAGCAAAACACUCCACAAAAUUCCACAUCAUUUUCUCCUUAUUGUGUGUUGCGGCAGUUCUAAGGGUGGAAGUUUAAACCUCUCAACCUCUCAUGAUCUUGCAGUUACAUAUUCUUUACUUUCUCUGGCCAUCCAUGUUCCAAACUGCUUGCAGCAAUAAUGACCUGUUAUAAUGCCUUGCAUAUUUAUCUGUCACUUUCAUUCUUCUUCUUUCCAUAUUUUCUAAAAGAAUGUUAGUGCAGCCCCAUUAUUCUUCUUCUCCUUUCAAGAUUGAUUCAUGUUCUUCCACCUCCAUUCAUGUUCUUCAGUGUGUCCGCGAUUCCGAUUGGCUCCUGCUUUCAUUUUUGUAUGUUGUUGUUUUUCUGUGUUGUGCAAUGAACACGGUUUGAUGAUGUUGCUGAGAGGUUUCAUUUGCGUUUGAACAUGUGGUGUUCGGUUUUGAAUGUUUGAUGAUGAAUGUUGAGUUGAAACAACUCUGAAUCGGCAAAGCUGGGUGAGAUCUUUCUGAGUUUAUGCUAUUUUCUGUUUAAUCUCUCUUUUUCACUCUCAAACUUUCUGCUUUAUUUUCUCCAUUCAAAUCUGAUUUAGGUGUAUUAAUGUUGCUUAAUGUAGUUUUAUUUUUCGAAUAAAUUAAUAGGCCACCGAGUGUUUCUUACGAUAUUUAUCAGAAUCAUUGUUGUUGAGUUGUUGGUCGGUGUAUGGAUCUUUUCACAAAGUCACGGAAAGAUGAAUAAGUUCAUAUGAAGCUCUUUUGUUGCGAUUGUCGUGAACGGUGAUGUUGCAGAUAUUUGGAAGUUUAAUGAAGGUGAUGGAAGGGAGUUGAAGUCUACAAGUUUCUAAACAAUGAAGGAAGAUGGUGAUAUGAAUGUUGGAGGAAGUUUUUUCUAUCAAUUUUUCGGCAUAGUUUUGGAGGAAGUAUUAACAAAAACCAAAUGAAUAUUUGAUUGUUUUCAACAAAAGUAGGAAAAUAUGUCAUUAUCAUGUAACAGCAAAAUAUGACUAAGUUGUGUUAUGCUUUGGUGAAUAGGUCUACUUAACUUAGGUUAAUGGUUUUGUCCUACUUAUGUAUAAACUCUAAGGUUGAUCCUGUGAAUAUUAUGAAUGAUAACCACCAGCUGCAUUACCUUACCUCUGCAAGAUAAUUUCACAACAGGAAGUUCGAUCAUAACCACAAAACAAAAAGGAACAAGAUAAUUUCACAACAGGAAGUUCAAUCAUAACCACAAAACAAAAAGGAACAAUCUGAAUCAGUUCUAUACUGCUACCGCUUUGGAAUUUCUCACCACCCCGUAGGUUGCAUCUUUUCCUUCUCUCAGUCCAUGAUUGUUGCAAGCAAUUCGGUUUGAUCAUUUGAUAGAAAUUAUAUAUGAUUGAUUGUGUGUUUGUGUUGUUAAAUCUAUGAGUAAAAAGUAAUUUAUUUAUUUUUACACUUGAUGAAUCCAUGUUUUCUCCAUAUCUCUUUUAGA